rnacentral:tRNA from 1 species
UGGGGUGGUGGCUCAGCCGCAGAGUACCUGCUUAGCAUGCGCCAGGACCUGGGUUCAAGCCCCAGCACCACAA